AGAGUUUGAUCAUGGCUCAGAGCGAACGCUGGCGGCACGCCUAACACAUGCAAGUCGAGCGAGAAAGUGACUUCCGUUGCGAGUAAAGCGGCGAACGGGUGAGUACAACGUGGAUAAUCUACCCUACGGUCGGGACAACCCCGAGAAAUCGGAGCUAAUACCGGAUAAGACCACAGUAUCCAAGGAUACAGCGGUAAAAGAUUUAUCGCCUUUGGAUGAGUCCACGUCCCAUCAGGUAGUUGGUAAGGUAAAGGCUUACCAAGCCUAAGACGGGUAGCCGGCCUUAGCGGGUGAACGGCCACAUGGGGACUGAGACACGGCCCUGACUCCUACGGGAGGCAGCAGUGGGGAAUAUUGGGCAAUGGGCGAAAGCCUGACCCACCGAUGCCGCGUGAGGGAUGAAGGCCUUCGGGUUGUAAACCCUC
rnacentral:rRNA from 1 species